rnacentral:lncRNA from 1 species
AAUAUUUCGAGGUAGAUUGUUGUGAAAAUUAAAUCAAUGAAAUUUUAGAUGUUUUGUCAAUAUGAAGUGUAUACAUAUUUUUUUAUUCUUCUCAAAAAUACAAAAGUUUAGGUCACAGUUUUUUUCUACCUACAAGUUGUGCAAUAUUGUCAGAUUUUGUAAACAUUAUACAAGGGUAAACCACUGUCUUGUGAAACGAUAGAUCUUUAAUAAAAAUAUAUUUUCAUCAAAAUUAAAAUAAAAAUUAAAGGUCACUGCACUCAAUUUCAUGCUUUAAAAUGAGAAAUUUAAAAAGGAAAAUGUAUUGAAUAUUCCUCUAGAUAGAUUAUAUUAUAUGAAUUAUCACCCCUUAUAAAAAUAAAAUGAACAAAAUUUGAAUCUCACAAAAAAAAAAACUUGUAAAUAUGUAAAUUCACUCAUGAUAAAAAAAUAGACUAACCAUAUACCUGUAAUUUUCUUAAUUUUGAAGAAAAAAGUGACAUCUGAAUUGCAUUCCUGUUUCAAUUUGCAUAUUCUUUUUAAUACAUUAUUUUAUUUAUUAUAUAAUUAUAUAGUAUAAAGCAACCAUCAACAAAUCCAUAGUCUUGUUAUGAUUUUUUUUCUGCUUUUUUAAGAUGGCAGAGGACCCCAGAUCUACCUUACUUUGCAUACUAACCUGUCCCUUUUUUACUUCAUUACAAAACUUAGAAUAUUCUCUAUAAUAUCCGAAAGAAAUUAGAUCUGUUCCCAAUAAGGGCUGUUCCAGAAAAUACUAUGUCCCCCCCAGGGACGGCACUUUUUUUUAACCCCCACCACCCACAGAAAUAAAAUUUAAUUAGAACAGCACUCCCUUUGCCUUUUGGUAUUUCAAAUACAACCACCCACAUAAUAUUUAAAAAAAAUUGCCUUCCCUGGGGGGACAUAGUAUUUUCUGGAACAGCCCUAACCUUCUAACAUCAAGCAAAAAUCACAGCCUGUGUGAUUUUAUGUAAUGGUGGACAAAUUUGCAUACAAGUGUAAAUAUGUCUAUUGCCAGGAGUUUUAGACAUCUACAAAUAAGUCUAAUUCUCUUAAUUGCAUUGACUUCUUUCAUUUAAUUUUAUCUACCUCUUAAGUAAAAUUAAUGUUGAUUGCCAACCAAGCCUUAAUUGCUAUUGUACCUUCAUUUAUCAAGAACUUUCAAUACCAAAAACUUCACUUUGAUGAAAAUUAUGUUUUGAAAUCUGAAAGAUCAAAUCACGCCUUACAAUUAAAUAGUUCUAGUCAAAAGCAUGUACGUGUAAAUCCUAGCAAAGGAAUCAACUGAAAAAGGCUAUUUUUGAUCAUUUGUUUAUUUUAAUUUUUGAACAAGGUUGUUUUAUAUUGUUUUUGCAGUUUUACGAUGUCUUAUUUUUG